GCCUGGGUGGCUCAGCCGGUUGAGCGUCUGACUUCAGCUCAGGUCAUGGUCUCGUAGUUUGUGAGUUCAAGUCCUGUGUCGGGCC
rnacentral:tRNA from 1 species